UGCCAGCCGCCGCGGUAAUACAGAGGGUGCGAGCGUUGUUCGGAAUCACUGGGCGUAAAGCGCGUGUAGGCGGUCUGGUUAGUCGGAUGUGAAAGCCCUGGGCUCAACCUAGGAACUGCAUCCGAUACUGCCAGACUUGAGUUCUGGAGGGGGUGGUGGAAUUCCCGGUGUAGAGGUGAAAUUCGUAGAUAUCGGGAGGAACACCUGUGGCGAAGGCGACCACCUGGACAGAUACUGACGCUGAGGUGCGAAAGCGUGGGGAGCGAACAGGAUUAGAUA
rnacentral:rRNA from 1 species